rnacentral:rRNA from 1 species
UACGUAGGGACCGAGCGUUGUCCGGAAUCAUUGGGCGUAAAGAGCGUGUAGGCGGCCACUUAAGUCCUGCGUGAAAUCUUGCGGCUCAACCGCAAGCGGUCAUGGGAAACUGGGUGGCUAGAGUGCGGGAGAGGAGAGUGGAAUUCCUGGUGUAGCGGUGGAAUGCGCAGAUAUCAGGAAGAACACCCGUGGCGAAGGCGGCUCUCUGGAACGCAACUGACGCUGAGACGCGAAAGCGUGGGGAGCAAACAGG